UAAAUUUCUCUCUAAAGACACACUCCUUCAACUGCAGCAACCCAUUAAUCAGUUUUUUCCAUCAGUUUUGUCCCCGUUCGCUUCUCCGCCAAUUAACUACUGAAUACACAAUCUCAACUAUACGUUAAUUUGCUGCAAUUCAGUCACUACCAAUGGUUAGCAGCGCCGAUUCGUGGACAAUUUUCAGGUCUUUUUUCUUCUUAUUAUAAUUUGAGGGAUUAUUGAUUCAAUUGUUUUAAUUGAUGUAUUCUGUAUUAUAUGAAUUCUUCUCAAUGAGUAAGUUUAAUUGAUGUAUUCUGGCUUAUAAUUAUUUAUAGUUGGGAUUGUGACUUAAAUCCAUAUCAUAAUUAUGUAAUGAAGAAAUUUAUUAUAGAAAACCAUUUAAAAACUUCUUUGUUCUUGAUGAAUUGUGUUAGAGUUUCAAAUGAAAUUGCAUUAUUUUUUCAUAGUUUCUCAAGACUGAAGUUCCAGUUUUGGAUUGGUUUUUUAUAUUGUUUUAAGGAGUUUAUUUAUAUGCCUUAACUUUUUUUUUUCCAGUUAUAUUUCAUUGUCAAAUUUUACAAGGGAGUUCUGGGAGCAAGAUGAUAACGGACCGUGGUUCGAAGCGAUUUCAUUAAUAUGUAUAUGUGAUCUUAUUCCAACCAGUCGAAGUUUGUGCGAUUAAGGGGUAAGGAUUCUAUUUGGCCGCAUUUCCUUGAUAUAAUAUGCAAUCAGUCAAAUGAAGAUAAAAAUUUAGGAAAUAAUGAUAUUAUGUUUAACAUAUUGGUCUGUCCUUAAAAGAAU
rnacentral:lncRNA from 1 species